rnacentral:rRNA from 1 species
CCCUUAGAGUUUGAUCCUGGCUCAGAACGAACGCUGGCGGCAGGCCUAACACAUGCAAGUCGAGCGAAGCCUUCGGGUUUAGCGGCGGACGGGUGAGUAACGCGUGGGAAUAUGCCCUUUGGUACGGAACAGUCCCGGGAAACUGGGUUUAAUACCGUAUGUGGUCCUUCGUAGUGGAUACGGGGGACGAAAGAUUUAUCGCCAAAGGAUUAGCCCGCGUUGGAUUAGGUAGUUGGUGGGGUAACGGCCUACCAAGCCGACGAUCCAUAGCUGGUUUGAGAGGAUGAUCAGCCACACUGGGACUGAGACACGGCCCAGACUCCUACGGGAGGCAGCAGUGGGGAAUCUUAGACAAUGGGGGCAACCCUGAUCUAGCCAUGCCGCGUGAGUGAUGAAGGCCUUAGGGUUGUAAAGCUCUUUCAGCUGGGAAGAUAAUGACGGUACCAGCAGAAGAAGCCCCGGCUAACUCCGUGCCAGCAGCCGCGGUAAUACGGAGGGGGCUAGCGUUGUUCGGAAUUACUGGGCGUAAAGCGCAUGUAGGCGGACCAGAAAGUUGGGGGUGAAAUCCCGGGGCUCAACCCCGGAACGGCCUUCAAAACUAUUGGUCUGGAGUUCGAGAGAGGUGAGUGGAAUUCCGAGUGUAGAGGUGAAAUUCGUAGAUAUUCGGAGGAACACCAGUGGCGAAGGCGGCUCACUG